UACCAGCACCCCGAGUGGUCGGGACGUUUAUUGGGCCUAAAGCAUCCGUAGCCGGUUCUGCAAGUCUUCCGUUAAAUCCACCUGCUUAACAGAUGGGCCGCGGAAGAUACUAUAGAGCUAGGAGGCGGGAGAGGCAAGCGGUACUCGAUGGGUAGGGGUAAAAUCCGUUGAUCCAUUGAAGACCACCAGUGGCGAAGGCGGCUUGCCAGAACGCGCUCGACGGUGAGGGAUGAAAGCUGGGGGGGCAAACCGG
rnacentral:rRNA from 1 species